rnacentral:rRNA from 1 species
AGUGAACGCUGGCGGUAGGCCUAACACAUGCAAGUCGAACGGCAGCACAGGAGAGCUUGCUCUCUGGGUGGCGAGUGGCGGACGGGUGAGGAAUACAUCGGAAUCUACUCUGUCGUGGGGGAUAACGUAGGGAAACUUACGCUAAUACCGCAUACGACCUACGGGUGAAAGCAGGGGACCUUCGGGCCUUGCGCGAUUGAAUGAGCCGAUGUCGGAUUAGCUAGUUGGCGGGGUAAAGGCCCACCAAGGCGACGAUCCGUAGCUGGUCUGAGAGUAUGAUCAGCCACACUGGAACUGAGACACGGUCCAGACUCCUACGGGAGGCAGCAGUGCGGAAUAUUGGAUAAUGGGCGCAAGCCUGAUCCAGCCAUACCGCGUGGGUGAAGAAGGCCUUCGGGUUGUAAAGCCCUUUUGUUGGGAAAGAAAUCCAGCUGGCUAAUACCCGGUUGGGAUGACGGUACCCAAAGAAUAAGCACCGGCUAACUUCGUGCCAGCCGCCGCAGUAA